rnacentral:rRNA from 1 species
UAGGGAAUAUUGCAAAAUGGGCGAAAGCCCGAUGCAGCAACGCCGCGUGGGCGAUGAAGGCCUUCGGGUCGUAAAGCCCUUUUUGAGGGGAUGAGGAAGGACAGUACCCUCAGAAUAAGCCUCGGCUAACUACGUGCCAGCAGCCGCGGUAAAACGUAGGAGGCGAGCGUUAUCCGGAUUUACUGGGCGUAAAGCGCGUGCAGGCGGAUUGGAGAGUUGGAUGUGAAAGCUCCCGGCUUAACUGGGAGAGGUCGUUCAAUACUUCCAGUCUUGAGUGCAGUAGAGGGAAGUGGAAUUCCGGGUGUAGUGGUGAAAUGCGUAGAUAUCCGGAGGCACACCAGUGGCGAAAGCGGCCUCCUGGACUGUAACUGACGCUCAGACGCGAAAGCUAGGGUAGCAAACG